CUUGGUUUCUACAACCCCUUAUUGUAACCAGACCUUCCUUUCUAUUGAUAAUAACUCUUUCAACAAAUUGCCAAUCAGAAAAUCUUUAAAGCUACAUAUAACCUGGAAGGUCUCCUGCUUUGAGUUGUCCCACCUUUCUGGACCAAACCAAUAUACAUCUUACAUGUAUUCAUUGAUGUCUCAUGUCUCCCAAAAAUGUAUAAAACCAAGCUGUACUCCGACCACCUCGGGUCAUGUCUCUCGCUAUGAGAGUGUUGGGGCUCAGAAAGCGAUACCCCAAAGACUGGUGCUUUGAAAUGUUGAGAGGACUUAGAAGCUGCCUCAGAAUCAAGGAGGCUGAGGCAGGAGAAUGGCGUGAACCCCGGGAGGGGGAGCUUGCAGUGAGCCGAGAUUGCGCCACUGCACUCCAGCCUGGGCGACACAGCGUGGGUGUGGUGGCACAUGCCUGUAGUCCCAGCUACCUAGGAGGCUGAGACAGGAGAAUCACUUGAACCCAGGACACAGAGACCGUAGUGAGCUGAGAUCACACCACUGCACUCCAUCCUGGGCAACAGAGCAAGACUCCAUCUCAAAAAAAAAGAAAGAAAGAAAGAAGAAAGAAAGAAAGAAGAAAGAAAGAAAGAAAGAAAAGAAAGAAAGAAAGAAAGAAAGAAAAGAAAGAAAGAAAGAAAGAAGGAAUAACUGCAUAACCACUAAUGAAAGACAAAGGAAAUACCGUUGACAAACAAUAGAGAUACAUAUUCCCCCAGAGCACCAACUAGAUAAAUGUAUUAAAUUCCUAGUGACUCAAAUUACUAUGAUAAUAUCUCAGCACUGUUUGAAAGGGUCCACUGAAUUCCAAUUAUAUAAAUAU
rnacentral:lncRNA from 1 species